GUGGAACAAAAGCAUUUAACUUUCUAAAAUCAGACCCCUGGUAUCAGGAUCUAAAAUACAGUCAUGAGAAGCAAAUUGCUAUUUGCAAAGCAGAGAAACAACAGCCAGAUUGUUUCUUCUUCACUCACUGUGCACAGUGUGUGUUGGCACUACAUUGCAGUAGCUCAGAAAUCUCAAACUGUCAGGAAAAACAAACCAUGCCCUACAGACACAAUAGAAGAGUGAAGAAAAAGCACAGAAAGGAAACUAGAAUUCAUCUUAAUUUAACAAAAGCCUGCUAUAUUUGCCAACAGUGUGGUAGAGUGUACUUCUGGUUGCUAUACCCACAUCUAGAAUAGGGAAAGCUGUGUGGAAAGAAAACCAACUGGCCAACUGCUGAACUUCAUUCCACAUGCCAGAUCUCCAGAAUAACUGCACAGGAAGACUUCAGUUCUUCAGCAAGUUAUGGCCAACAGGGGAAUGAAGAUGACAACGUGCUUCUGGAGCACUGUGAAUGAGCAUCCAGGAUUACAGGGAAGACCUUUCCUUUUUUUUUUUUUUUUUUUUUUUUUUUAGGAAGGAGAGGGCUAGAAAAGUGAGGAUGGGCUCUGCCAUCUCCAUUCCCAGCUAAGAACUUUAUCUAAAACUCAUUUAAGGAUUAUAUGAAUUUCUUUCAAAGCAGUGCUGUAGGCCCAUACAAAUGUAAUAUUUUCCAGAGUACUGUCACAGAUUUCUAAUAAACAAACAACAGUACCACAUGUAUAAGUCAAAAAUUUAAACAACAAUGAUUGCAUUUCUGUUUGCUAAACUCUUUCCUUGGUCUGCUCAUCUGACCAGUCACCACAGUCCCAUGAUCAAUUAAUAAAUCUGCAUUACAUACGGUUUCCGUAUACAAUCUCUUUAGUAAGCAUAACACUAUGUGAAAUCAUUGCCUGUUGUUGACUCGGCAAAAGCUGAGAGGGAAAAAUGAACAGAC
rnacentral:lncRNA from 1 species